UGGAGAGAACUUUAGACCCUCGCUCUCCCACGAAGAAAAGGGGACGCGAAUUUCUGCACGAACAGUGCCAGGCGCCGAUGAGAGGUAGGAUGAGGACAGCAUGAGCCCCGCAGUUGAAUACCUGCAAUGCCUCCUGGGCCUCACCUCAUGCCUAGCGGCACGGAUUCGACCUCAGCAGCAUUGCAAUGGGAUUUGAGGACUGAGGCGGUGGGGUCGUGCAAUGCAUGAGCAUGUGACACUACAGUGAGAUGGGGAUGAGUCUGCUUAUAGACGGUCGAUUGAACAGCUGGUCCUCCUGGUGAAAUCAGAACAACUUAAAGCUGAACCGACUCAAAACAGUGGAGAGGACACUGGAUUUCAGAAGGAGCCCCACAUCCCUGCCAGUCAAGACUGUGAUGGCUGUUCCUAGGAACUAUAGUCAUCAGGGACCUGAAGUGGGGUAUCAAAUUAACUCAAUUGCUAAGAAAGUCCAGCAGAAGAUACUUCCUGUGCCAGUUGAAGACAUUUAAGAGCUGAUUCAGUUCUACACAGUGGCCACAUAGUCUGUCAACACCUCAGUCGCAAUAUGGUGCAGCGCAGCCACCAAACAUCACAUUUACAAACUGCAGUGCAUCAUUAGGUCUGAGAACUUUGUUAUUAAUGUACCCAGCUUAAACUGCACACCUCCCGAACUAGAGGCAUGCAGAGAAAAUUAUUUCUGACCCAUCGCACACAGACUCCUUCAGGUAGGCUCUGGAAGAAUUUCCUUCCUUGUGCCAUUAGACUCAUGAACAAUUAAUGCACAUCACUUGUGUUAUUUGACACACUAAUUUUGUACUUUCUUAUAUUAUUUUAUUCAAUAUUACUGUCUCCUACUCAGCUGCUGUUCUCUGCAUUAUACACAAAUACUUUGUACACUCUAGUUUUUCACAGGUGAGCAAGUGUGAAAUUUCUGUUGUCUACUGUUUAUACAGAGCUACUCAGACAAAUUCCCUGUAUGUGCAAUCUAGGUCUGCAACAGCUAAUUGACGUUAUCAAUAAUGUUGACAGUAAAACAUUGUUUAUCACACUUGCAUGCAAUUAGACAUUUCCACCAGAGAGGACUUCACAUCCCCAAAGGCUUACAUGGUGUAGCUUCAAAAACAAUCAAAAAAGUAUUUAGCAGGCUUUCAUGUAGCUUUACCACCACAUUGCCUGCUGUGCUGAAAGGAGGUAUUAGAGAAAGGUGCCACAAAUAUUGAAUAAGAGGCUACUCAACCUGUAGUUAUGGAUAGGAUCAGCCUCACUGCACUUCAUAUAUGGAUUGCAGUGUGAACUUGUUUUGAAGUGCAAACAUUAUUGGUUAUUAUUGGUUAUCGUUACUGGCACAGUAAAUUGUGCAUCAGUGCAUCCCUAGUAUUUGAACGCUGAUGUCUCCAUUGUCUCAUUAUUUACAGGCUUUCAAAGACACUCAGGUGAUGAGAAGAUGUUUAUUUUUAGGGAUACUCUCUCUCGUUCUCUCUCUCUUUCUCACUUUGUUCUCUCCCUAGUGUCACACAUUACUUCUGCACUUGCUGUAAUUACCAGGGGAUCAAGCUUGCAUUUUCAACGCCUGUCUCGUUUCCGUGCCCCACAUUUAGUAUUUCCCACAUGCCUGACUACUUCUCCCAGGAGUUCUUCCAGUUCAGUCCCAGAUAUAGGAAGCUGCUGGCAGUGUACAUUACAUCAUGAACGGCGGGACACAUUUUUUAUAGGCAGCGCCAGUCAUCAGUAUUGUGACCAGACAUACCAUGGUUCCAAUGUUCUCCUGUCCAGUAAUGUUACGUUAAGAUCAGUUUGAAAAGAUGCAGUGGCUGACGUCACUUCACUCAGCAGACGUCCCUUUCCAGCCUGGUAUCAUUCUGUGAUAAGAGGGAGACCUAGCUAGCAGAUGAAAUUGAUCACACAGAAAUUGGGAACAACACUAGAAAAAAAAAACAUAAUAAAUGAAUUAAUUAAUUACCUAAAAACUACAUUUGUUGGACUACAGAUUUUUUAUUCUUUUCAAAUGUGGUCACAUGUUGAUCACAACAGCAGACUUAUCAAAUGCUGACUUAGCAUAUGACACGCCAUGCUAGCUUGUAAUCCACAAUUUCUUGAUAUCAGAAAUUUCAAACAUGGGCACAGUCCAUAUUUUGCACAGCAAUUCAAAAAAAACGCUAUUAAUAAGAUGAUAUCUGAACUACAUGAUGGAUAAACAACAGGCUGUA